GAAUUUUAUUUCUUAUUGGUUAGUAUGGGAAGUUAAGUAUAAUUUUUGAAAAAUAAUUUGAAGUAUAGAGUAUAAGUAUAAUAAAAUUAUAUUGUAAGAUUAUAGAGUAUUAGUAUUGUAAAAGAAAGGAGAGAAUUAUAUAAUAAUUUAUAUAGAAAGUUUGAAUUACUGUACCUUGUGUAUUAGGGAUGAUCAAUAUUUUUUAGUUAGUUUUAGAUGUCUCGAAAUGAAAACAGCUAAUUUUAUAUAAUUUUUUUUGUAGAAUAAAAAUGUUGAAUAUAAAGUUAAAGAUGAUAUGUUAGUCGAGUUUCAUUAUAUCUAGUUUUUUUAGAAUUAAAUUUAAUUUAGAUCUUUGGUUUAUAAUAUUAAAGUUGUUAUUAUAGGAGGGAAUAGCUUCUUAUGUUUAGCAGUAUAAAAAGUAAAGUAAGUUUUAUUAUAUGUAAAUUAGGCUUAAAAGUAGCUGAAUUAUUAAAAUGUUAAAAUUAAAUAUAUUGGAAUAUUGUUUAUAAUUGCUUUUAGGGUUUAUAAAAAUUUUAUGUAGGAUAUAAUAAUAUAAGAUGUAAUGGUUUUAUUAGUAGGAAUGUGUUGUUGGAUAGUAAAAAUUAAAUAAUUAAGUAGAGUAUAAAUAAGUAGAGUAUAUGAAAUUAUAAAGGAAUUCGGCAAAUAAAUUUCUUGCCUGUUUAUCAAAAACAUGUCUGUUUGUGGUUAUAGAGAGUCUGGCCUGCCCACUGAUAAAACUUAAAGGGCCGCGGUAUUUUGACCGUGCAAAGGUAGCAUAAUCAUUAGGUUUUUAAUUGAGAUCUUGUAUGAAUGGUUUUACAAAGGAAUAGCUGUCUUUAUACUUAAUUUUGAAUUUAACUUUUAAGUGAAAAGGCUUAAAUGAAUUAAUAAGACGAUAAGACCCUAUAAAGCUUAAUGUAUAACUUUUAUUAGGUUAAAUUAGAAUGAAUUAUAACGAUCUGAUGAGGGAUUACAUUGUGUUGGGGCGACAUAAAUAAAAUGAGUUGUAACUGUUUAGGUUUGGAGACAUAUGUGGGUGAUUAGGUUUUAAUUGAUCCUAGCUGUAGAUUAAAAAAUUUAGUUACUUUAGGGAUAACAGCGUUAUUUUUUUUGAGAGUUCUUAUCGAAAAAAAAGAUUGCGACCUCGAUGUUGAAUUAAAAUAUCUAUAUGAUUGCAGAAGUUAUUAGAGAAGGUCUGUUCGACCUUUAAAUUUUUACAUGAUUUGAGUUCAAACCGGCGUGAGCCAGGUUGGUUUCUAUCUUUUAAUUGGAAUAAAGAUUAUUUUAGUACGAAAGGAUUAAAUAAUUAAAAUUAUUUUAGCUAUUUGG
rnacentral:rRNA from 1 species